rnacentral:lncRNA from 1 species
AUCAGUCAGGAGAUCAAACUGACUUAAUGAGACCAUCUAGGGCUUUGAAGCAGCAGUUACUGAUUGACUCUGAUGCACACUGCUCCAGGUCGAAAGAGGUUAAGGAGUUCUCUUUUUGUAUCAAACUGACAACAGCAGAAAUGAUGUAAGGAAAGCUCCUAUGGUCUGAUCAUUGAGAACCCCACAUAUGGCGCCAGGUUGGGCAAUGUUUUCACUUCUGUUGCUGCUUUCCCACACUGAAACCUUGGACAAGAAAACUGACAAAAUAAGGCAUGGCCAAAUGCUUCAAAGCUACGAAGUUCUUUUCCCCUCUGAAGUGCCCAUGACCAGAGUCACCACUCAGAACACAGUGUUCUCCCAACUUCCCUCAGACCUAAGGACAAGAUUCCAAGGAAAGCCACCACACAUGGCUCUGAGACUACAAAAUGAGGAAAGUGAAGCAAACAAGAUUAAGUGACUUGCCCAGGAUCAAACUGUAGUUGAGGUGGAACCUCCUCUUUCCCUUGUUUGUCUUUGCUUCAGACAAAGAUGUGGAUUAGCCUUUACUCAUCCCGGGACCAAGGUUGGAACAGUAAACAUGAAGGAAGCAGGAUAACAUUUAUGAAAAGCAAAUUGUGAUAAGGUGGGCGCCUCUUCUCCUUGUUUGCCCCUCUUCCCCUUGUUUGGAUUUUCAUUAGACGAAGAUGUGGAGUAACCUUUGAACACCUGCCUAUCCCUGGACCAAGGUUAGAGUUUCUGGAAUGUAAAGUCAUAAAUUCCUG